AGUACAGUCGCAGGCUUGAACCUCAAGGAAUUGACGGGGGCCGCACAAGCGGUGGAGCAUGUGGUUCAAUUUGACGCAACGCGAAGAACCUUACCUGGGCUCGAACGGCUGGUUACCGGCGGUGGAAACAUCGCUGCCCCGCAAGGGGGUCCAGUCGAGGUGCUGCAUGGCUGUCGUCAGCUCGUGUCGUGAGAUGUUGGGUUAGUCCCGCAACGAGCGCAACCCCUGUCCUGUGUUGCCAUCAUUCAGUUGGGAACUCGCAGGAGACCGCCAGCGAUAAGCUGGAGGAAGGUGGGGAUGACGUCAAGUCCUCAUGGCCUUUAUGUCCAGGGCUACACACGUGCUACAAUGGGCGGUACAAAGCGCAGCAAACCCGCGAGGGGGAGCCAAUCGCAAAAAACCGUUCUCAGUUCGGAUUGCAGGCUGCAACUCGCCUGCAUGAAGCUGGAAUCGCUAGUAAUGGCAGAUCAGCACGCUGCCGUGAAUACGUUCCCGGGCCUUGUACACACCGCCCGUCACAUCACGAAAGUGGAUUGUACUAGAAGUCUGUACGCUGACCCGCAAGGGAGGCAGCGGCCCAAGGUAUGAUUCAUGAUUGGGGUGAAGUCGUAACAAGGUAACC
rnacentral:rRNA from 1 species